rnacentral:miRNA from 1 species
UAGUACGUUCCGAAUCGACUCG